UACGUAGGGUGCAAGCGUUGUCCGGAAUUAUUGGGCGUAAAGAGCUCGUAGGCGGUUUGUUGCGUCGGCUGUGAAAACCUGAGGCUCAACCUCAGGCCUGCAGUCGAUACGGGCAGACUAGAGUUCGGUAGGGGAGACUGGAAUUCCUGGUGUAGCGGUGAAAUGCGCAGAUAUCAGGAGGAACACCGGUGGCGAAGGCGGGUCUCUGGGCCGAUACUGACGCUGAGGAGCGAAAGCGUGGGGAGCGAACAGG
rnacentral:rRNA from 1 species